ACGUCUUUGAUUUAUGAAGACUUUUUCCUAGGUAGGACACGGCACGGCUGGAAGUUGGAGGAAAGCGUCUGGGUGUUGGCGUUUCCCUUUCCUGCAGCCUCCGGCCCGUCGGCAGGGGAAGGCAGCGAGGCCGCGGGCAGCGCAGGAGCUGCUCCCUGCGAGGUUCGCGUGCUCCGCUGGCAGGGCAGGCCGUGAGCAAACAGAGGCACGGCCGAGCGUUCUGAGGGAACGUCCUCUGGCAGACGUGGUGGUAGCCUGGCAUCAAGAAGAAGAUUGACAGGAGAAGAGGACCGGCACCGUGGAGGUUGUGAGCAGAGAGAUUUCCGUCAGUGUUUUUUUUGCCGGGAGUAAUUUAUUGGUGUGCUGGAGUUGUUCGGAAUGACCAGAAAAUUUCCAGCCAUGGAGGAGGCUGACAUGGGGGGUAUAGCUCAGUGGCAGAGCAUUUGACUGCAGAUCAAGAGGUCCCUGGUUCAACUCCAGGUGCCCCCUCUUUUAAAUGUCUUUUUCAGCCGGCCUUUUGCCCAGGAAAGCUCAGGGCUUCUGCUCUGAGUUGCUCUGCGCUGUUUUUGUGUAAGUUUGGGAUUUUCUGUAGUGACUCCCUGCAGAAAUUACAUCCGUUGCCCUGUCCAGGCUGCUGUCAGGGUGAUGAAUCUGAACCCGCGGUCAGACACUGGGCGUGUGUAACUGCUUUUAAAACCACCUUGCGGAGGGCUUGCUGCAGGGGGUAUAGCUCAGUGGCAGAGCAUUUGACUGCAGAUCAAGAGGUCCCCGGUUCAACUCCGGGUGCCCCCUUGCAAUUGUGCUUUUUUCAGGAAAAAGUACGAGGCGUGUGCCUCACUUUUAGAUCCUGCAUGCUGCUGCAUGGCCAAAGGGCUGCUCUCUGAACCGAACCCAAGACAGAGCGUUAACCUAAAAAUGCACGGCCAAAUUUGCGUGCAUGUCAGUGACGAGGCAAAGGCACGAUGCCAGUUCCUGGGCUGUAGGAGUCGUCGUUUUGAUCAGGCAAGAGACUGCAGUGGUUCUACGCUUUGUCUCCUGUAUUGAUUCUCUGAAUACACUUUGGCGUGUACAUUUUAAUGCAAAGGAGUCUGUCAAAUAAAAAACCAAUCCACCCAGUGGACAUAAAAUCUGA